GUGGGGAAUUUUGGACAAUGGGGGCAACCCUGAUCUAGCCUUGCCGCGUGAGUGAUGAAGGCCUUAGGGUCGUAAAGCUCUUUCGCUGGGGAAGAUAAUGACGGUACCCAGUAAAGAAACCCCGGCUAACUCCGUGCCAGCAGCCGCGGUAAUACGGAGGGGGUUAGCGUUGUUCGGAAUUACUGGGCGUAAAGCGCGCGUAGGCGGAUUGGAAAGUUGGGGGUGAAAUCCCGGGGCUCAACCCUGGAAUGGCCUUCAAAACUCCCAGUCUUGAGGUCGAGAGAGGUGAGUGGAAUUCCGAGUGUAGAGGUGAAAUUCGUAGAUAUUCGGAGGAACACCAGUGGCGAAGGCGGCUCACUGGCUCGAUACUGACGCUGAGGUGCGAAAGCGUGGGGAGCAAACAGGAUUAGAAACCCCUGUAGUCC
rnacentral:rRNA from 1 species